CCUAUACCACCGAUUCUCGUCCGACUACCGAAGUUUAGCAACGUCGAGCAUGAUCAGUACCUCGAUGUGUGACCGAUUGGGAAUACCAAAUGCUGUGA